rnacentral:rRNA from 1 species
GUUUAACGGCCGCGGUAUUUUGACCGUGCAAAGGUAGCGUAAUCACUUGUCUUUUAAAUGGAGACCAGUAUGAAUGGCAUAACGAGGGCCAAGCUGUCUCCUUUUUCUAGUCAAUGAAAUUGAUCCUCCUGUGCAGAAGCAGGAAUACUCUCAUAAGACGAGAAGACCCUAUGGAGCUUCAGACACAAGACAACCCAUGUUAAAACACCAAAUUAAUGGAAACAACAAAAUGACAUUUGUCCUCAUGUCUUUGGUUGGGGCGACCAUGGAGUAACAAAAAACCCCCAUGUGGAAUGGGGCUUUCCCCCUUAAAACCAGAGCCACAGCUCUCAACAACAGAACAUCUGACCAACAAGAUCCGGCAAAGCCGAUCAACGGACCUAGUUACCCUAGGGAUAACAGCGCAAUCCCCUUUUGGAGCCCAUAUCGACAAGGGGGUUUACGACCUCGAUGUUGGAUCAGGACAUCCUAAUGGUGCAGCUGCUAUUAAGGGUUCGUUUGUUCAACGAUUAAAGUCCUACGUGAU